UUCUCACGUUAUUAACUUAUUGCUGUUUGAGCACAUCCUUUCAAGAAUCAAUGAAUACCGCGUGUGGUGUUACCCAACAAAAGAUAAUUAGUUGAGUUCAACACAGGCGAGCGAUUCUGAUUCUUAUCCUAAGAAAGGAACUGCAUCCGCCGACAACCUCCCCCCUCCUUUUUCCAUAUGUUCAUCCAAUACCGUUGUU
ensembl:ncRNA C39E6.11 ncRNA